rnacentral:rRNA from 1 species
CCUACGGGGGGCUGCAGUGGGGAAUAUUGCACAAUGGGCGCAAGCCUGAUGCAGCCAUGCCGCGUGUGUGAAGAAGGCCUUCGGGUUGUAAAGCACUUUCAGCGGGGAGGAAGGCGUUAAGGUUAAUAACCUUGGCGAUUGACGUUACCCGCAGAAGAAGCACCGGCUAACUCCGUGCCAGCAGCCGCGGUAAUACGGAGGGUGCAAGCGUUAAUCGGAAUUACUGGGCGUAAAGCGCACGCAGGCGGUCUGUCAAGUCGGAUGUGAAAUCCCCGGGCUCAACCUGGGAACUGCAUUCGAAACUGGCAGUCUAGAGUCUUGUAGAGGGGGGUAGAAUUCCAGGUGUAGCGGUGAAAUGCGUAGAGAUCUGGAGGAAUACCGGUGGCGAAGGCGGCCCCCUGGACAAAGACUGACGCUCAGGUGCGAAAGCGUGGGGAGCAAACAGGAUUAGAUACCCCGGUAGUC